GACGACGCUGGCGGCGUGCUUAACACAUGCAAGUCGAACGAGCGGCGGACGGGAGAGAUAUGUGUGGAGAUCUGCCUGAUAGAGGGGGAUAACUACUGGAAAGGGUGGCUAAUCCCGCAUACUAUCGGAUGAACCCAUAGGGGAUUAGCUUGUAGGUGGGGUGAAGGGUCACCUAGGCGACGGUCUCGAGCAGGUCUGAGAGGAUGAUCAGCCACACUGCGACUGAGAGACGGCCAAGACUCCUACGGGAGGCAGCAGGGGGGAAUAUUGCACUAUGGGCGCAAGCCUGAUGCAGCGAUGCCGCGUGGAUGAAGAGGGCCUUAGGGUUGUAAAGUUCUUUCAGCGGGGAGGCGGUACCCGCAGAAGAAGCGCCGGCUAACUCCGUGCCAGCAGCCGCGGUAAUUC
rnacentral:rRNA from 1 species